UUUGUACUCCCUCCGUCCCAUAAUUCGUGUCUUAAAUUUGUCUAAAUACAGAUGUAUCUAGUUACAUUUUAGUGUUAGAUACAUCCGUAUCUAAACAAAUGUAAGACAAGAAUUUUGGGACGAAGGGAGUACUAC
rfam:Triticum aestivum genome assembly, contig: Triticum_aestivum_CS42_TGACv1_scaffold_592632_7BS